CCCGGGCGCCGCCGCGCUGCCUCCGCACCCUGCAGUUUCCUGGAGCCGCAACUCCUGCCGCUCGCCUGCCUCCUCACGCCCGACCACGCGCUCGCGCUGCUCCGCCUCCUGCCCUGCUCCUCCGGCUCCGCUCCGCGCAUCCCAAUCCUUGCUCCUCCGACUCCUGGCCAUGGGGGGCUUCCAGGCACCAGAUCCGGCUGCCGCGGACCCAGAUACAGUGGCACGGUCGCACAGCCAGGCAGCUUGGUGCGCCAGCCCCCACCAUGGGCACGGCAGCCAUGGGCGUGCGACACGGGGAGCGGGCGACGAGCAAGCAGCCAGUCCAUUCCCGUGCUAGAUGCAAGGGGCGCCCUAGCUCCCUAGCCGGUAGCGACGCGGCAAUGCUCCCCUUUCAGGCCUCCGAUCAUAAGAUUCCAACACUUCACCCUCCUCAAUCCAUCAGCAAAGCUGUUGGGACAGAUUGGUGAGGAUUGAGGGAACGCACCAGCCUGCGAGUGGCCAGCGACGGCCAUGGCUGGCCUUGGGAAUUCCAACGCAAUUUAAGCUCGCUUCUUCCCGUGAGUAGUGAAUGGCAGUUGUGAUUCUACAUAUACGUUUUCCUCCUGUGCUUCCUGCACUCCUUAUGAUUCAAGUGCAUACACUUUGGCAACAGCUUGCAAAGUGUUCGACAGAAUGCUCAUGAGGAGGUCAACAUGAAGAUAGUAGUUGUUUCAUCUGCCCGUAGUGCUCUAACCACAUCAACAACAGGCCUACCUGCCUGGUUAGAAUUUUCCCUCUACUUUGACUGUUUCCUUUUCCCUUUGGGUGGACAGAAGAUUGACCCAGUGUGGAGUGGUCUGAUUUGGGCGAGGAGCAAUUCGACGGGAACAGGACUGGCAGCCUAGCAAGCCAGUAGCUCAAUGCUUUCAUCCUGCAGUGUAGGCACAGAAGCAUUCCUCACAACUGAACAACAACAACAACCAGCACAUGUCUGAUUGAAGCUACAUAGAUCCUCAGUGGCUAAAAGAUUAAGGAUGCCUUAAGGUCGAGAAUUUUUUCAAAUGGAGACAUGAAGUGGAGUACAUGUAUGAGUCUUUGAUUCAAACACUAAGACGAAGCUGUCAAAGACUACAUACCUGUGCCCUUGAGUAGCAUAUUUCCUCUGCAUGUAAGUUGCUUUUUCCCAUAUUUGUAGAUGUUCAUGUGCAGGAGAAAAAAUAAAUAGCAAUUGUGUCAUGCUUAACAUGUUGGCUAAUUACAUGAAUCAAAAAUUUUCUUGACU